GACGAACGCUGGCGGCGUGCCUAAUACAUGCAAGUAGAACGCUGAAGCUUGGUGCUUGCACCGAGCGGAUGGGUUGCGAACGGGUGAGUAACGCGUAGGUAACCUGCCUGGUAGCGGGGGAUAACUAUUGGAAACGAUAGCUAAUACCGCAUGAUAUUGAUUAUUGCAUGAUAGUCAAUUAAAAGGUGCAAUUGCAUCACUACCAGAUGGACCUGCGUUGUAUUAGCUAGUUGGUGAGGUAACGGCUCACCAAGGCAACGAUACAUAGCCGACCUGAGAGGGUGAUCGGCCACACUGGGCCUGAGACACGGCCCAGACUCCUACGGGAGGCAGCAGUAGGGAAUCUUCGGCAAUGGACGGAAGUCUGACCGAGCAACGCCGCGUGAGUGAAGAAGGUUUUCGGAUCGUAAAGCUCUGUUGUAAGAGAAGAACGAGUGUGAGAGUGGAAAGUUCACACUGUGACGGUAUCUUACCAGAAAGGGACGGCUAACUACGUGCCAGCAGCCGCGGUAAUACGUAGGUCCCGAGCGUUGUCCGGAUUUAUUGGGCGUAAAGCGAGCGCAGGCGGUUAGAUAAGUCUGAAGUUAAAGGCUGUGGCUUAACCAUAGUACGCUUUGGAAACUGUUUAACUUGAGUGCAAGAGGGGAGAGUGGAAUUCCAUGUGUAGCGGUGAAAUGCGUAGAUAUAUGGAAGGAACACCGGUGGGCGAAAGNCGGCUCUNNNGGCUUGUAACUGANCGCUGAAGGCUCGAAAGCGNUGGGGAGCAAACAGG
rnacentral:rRNA from 1 species